rnacentral:lncRNA from 1 species
GAUCCUAUAGGACAAAUUUUAACUGCCACAUGUCAACUCCUAGUCUAUUCCAUAGGUGUUGGUCUAUACUAUAAGCUAUAGCCUACUCUUGGUACCCAAGAUCACCUUUCUCCAUACUGAUCAGACUUUGUUCUAUAUAAUCCAAACUUAAAUUGGCAAUCUUGGUUUGAGUAAUUUCAUAAACAGAAUCCAGUCAUUCUGCUCAUUCAACUAGGUGUCCUAAUACAACUGUCCCCCAAGGCCUAUAAAUAAAAAUCCCACCCAAACUUUGAAGAUGGAAUAGUUUUUGGUACACUGGUUGAGAAACCAUGAUGCCUAUUGACAACUAUUC